rnacentral:lncRNA from 1 species
GAAGGAAGUGCUGGGCAUUUUCUGGAGAGCGGGGUUCAAAUGGAGAAAGGGAGACACGGGGUGUUUUCUGGAGAGCGGGGUUCACAACGGCGAUCGUGAGUUAUCAUCAGGCGACUGGGGUUUGACUGGAGAACGGGGUUCAUGAUUUGGCAAACAAGAGUAAUAUGAAGUUGUCGGGGUUCAAAUGCGGUGAUCAGGGAUCAUACACGCGAAAAUAAUUGUUCGGGGUCCAAGAAAAAGCAAA